rnacentral:tRNA from 1 species
GGGUAGCUAGUCCAAAGAAAGACUGUUGAUUUCGACUCAACUAAUUAUGGUGCAAACCCAUAGUUACCCU